GAAUCAAACGAAACUGAAACGACAAUAUCCAUGUCUGCUCUAAUCGACAAAAUCGGCAGUAAAUUUAAAUUUAAAUUUGUUAAUAAUAACGCAAGUACAAAGACUAGUGAUAACAAGGCACCUACCCAGAAACAGCCCAAUGUGGGCAAAAAGAUAUCAACAAAAAAGAAAGCGAAAACGCAGCAUCACACCACUUCUCUAGGAAGAGGCCGAUGAUUCAAUUACGGAGCCCCGCAUUUGUAACAUUAAAGCCACAAGACAGCACAUCCUAGACAUACGAAAAGAAAUGCCAAUAAAAGACUUCGAAGAGUAUAUUACCAAUGUCUCUUGCCAAAAGUAUGAAUCAGUACCAAAAGCUAUUUUCAUUGGAAAGACAAGAUAUAAUGAUAAUAAAAACAUGAGAAAGUGGUGUUGGAUUCGUGAUAGAAGAUCUCUCUUUCGCUCAAAGUCAAAA